GACGAACGCUGGCGGCGUGCUUAACACAUGCAAGUCGAACGGAAAGGCCCUGCUUUUGUUGGUUGCUCGAGUGGCGAACGCGUGAGUAACACGUGAGUAACCUGCCCUUGACUUUGGGAUAACUUCAGGAAACUGGGGCUAAUACCGGAUAGGAUCUCUUGCUGCAUGGUGGUGGUUGGAAAGUUUCGGCUGUUGGGGAUGGACUCGCUGCUUAUCCGCUUGUUGGGGGGGUAGUGGCUUACCAAGGGUUUGAAGGGUAGGCGGCCUGAGAGGGUGAACGGCCACCUUGGGACUGAGAUACGGCCCAGACUCGUACGGGAGGCAGCAGUGGGGAAUAUUGCACAAUGGGGGGAAGCCAGAGGCAGAGACCCCGCGUGCGGAAUGACGGGCUUCGGGUUGUAAACAGCUUUCGCCUGUGACGAAGAGUGCGUGACGGUAAUGGGUAAAGAAGCACCGGCUAACUACGUG
rnacentral:rRNA from 1 species